CCGCUCACUGCUUUGAGAGACGGCGCAUCAACGGUCAGGACACCUGGACACUGAAGACUCCUGCACUGAUUCAGAUGCAGACGGGGCACAAAUUCUCUGGCACCAGAACAGUGGUGUUGACCUGUCUGGAGGACAUCAUGGAGAUGAUGGACACAAAUACCACAGAGAAGGAGGG